AAACUAACAAGGAUUCCCCUAGUAACUGCGAGUGAAGCGGGAAAAGCUCAAAUUUAAAAUCUGGCGGCUUUGGUCGUCCGAGUUGUAUUCUAGAGAAGUGUUUUCCGCGUUGGACCGUGUAUAAGUCUCUUGGAAUAGAGCGUCAUAGAGGGUGAGAAUCCCGUCUUUGACACGGACUACCAAUGCUUUGUGAUACACUCUCAAAGAGUCGAGUUGUUUGGGAAUGCAGCUCAAAAUGGGUGGUAAAUUCCAUCUAAAGCUAAAUAUUGGCGAGAGACCGAUAGCGAACAAGUACCGUGAGGGAAAGAUGAAAAGCACUUUGGAAAGAGAGUUAAACAGUACGUGAAAUUGCUGAAAGGGAAACGCUUGAAGUCAGUCGCGUUAGCUAGAACUCAACCAGGCUUGCUUGGCGUAUUUUCUAGUUAACGGGCCAGCAUCAGUUUUGACCGCAGGAAAAGGGUCAGGGAAAUGUGGCAUCUUCGGAUGUGUUAUAGUCUCUGGUCGUAUACUGUGAUUGGGACUGAGGACCGCAGCACGCGCAAGCUGUGCUUAGGAUGCUGGCGUAAUGGCUUUAAACGACC
rnacentral:rRNA from 1 species